CAGUCGCCGCGGUAAUACGAAGGGGGCUAGCGUUGCUCGGAAUGACUGGGCGUAAAGGGCGCGUAGGCGGCGAUCAAAGUCAGGCGUGAAAUUCCUGGGCUCAACCUGGGGGCUGCGUUUGAUACUUGAUUGCUAGAGUGGGGAAGAGGGUCGUGGAAUUCCCAGUGUAGAGGUGAAAUUCGUAGAUAUUCGGAAGAACACCAGUGGCGAAGGCGGCUUACUGGCUCAUUCUAGACGCUGAGGUGCGAAAGCGUGGGGAGCAAACAGGAUUAGAUACCCCCGUAGUCCCUGUCUCUUAUAA
rnacentral:rRNA from 1 species